rnacentral:rRNA from 1 species
GACGAACGCUGGCGGCGUGCUUAACACAUGCAAGUCGAACGGAAAGGCCCUGCUUGCAGGGUACUCGAGUGGCGAACGGGUGAGUAACACGUGGGUGAUCUGCCCUGCACUUCGGGAUAAGCCUGGGAAACUGGGUCUAAUCCCGGAUAGGAGCCAUUUUUAGUGUGAUGGUUGGAAAGUUUUUUCGGUGUAGGAUGAGCUCGCGGCCUAUCAGCUUGUUGGUGGGGUAAUGGCCUACCAAGGCGGCGACGGGUAGCCGGCCUGAGAGGGUGGACGGCCACAUUGGGACUGAGAUACGGCCCAGACUCCUACGGGAGGCAGCAGUGGGGAAUAUUGCACAAUGGGCGCAAGCCUGAUGCAGCGACGCCGCGUGGGGGAUGACGGCCUUCGGGUUGUAAACUCCUUUCGCUAGGGACGAAGCUUUUUGUGACGGUACCUAGAUAAGAAGCACCGGCUAACUACGUG